rnacentral:rRNA from 1 species
UUAAAUUGAAGAGUUUGAUCAUGGCUCAGAUUGAACGCUGGCGGCAGGCCUAACACAUGCAAGUCGAACGGUAACAGGAAACAGCUUGCUGUUUCGCUGACGAGUGGCGGACGGGUGAGUAAUGUCUGGGAAACUGCCUGAUGGAGGGGGAUAACUACUGGAAACGGUAGCUAAUACCGCAUAACGUCGCAAGACCAAAGAGGGGGACCUUCGGGCCUCUUGCCAUCAGAUGUGCCCAGAUGGGAUUAGCUAGUAGGUGGGGUAACGGCUCACCUAGGCGACGAUCCCUAGCUGGUCUGAGAGGAUGACCAGCCACACUGGAACUGAGACACGGUCCAGACUCCUACGGGAGGCAGCAGUGGGGAAUAUUGCACAAUGGGCGCAAGCCUGAUGCAGCCAUGCCGCGUGUAUGAAGAAGGCCUUCGGGUUGUAAAGUACUUUCAGCGGGGAGGAAGGGAGUAAAGUUAAUACCUUUGCUCAUUGACGUUACCCGCAGAAGAAGCACCGGCUAACUCCGUGCCAGCAGCCGCGGUAAUACGGAGGGUGCAAGCGUUAAUCGGAAUUACUGGGCGUAAAGCGCACGCAGGCGGUUUGUUAAGUCAGAUGUGAAAUCCCCGGGCUCAACCUGGGAACUGCAUCUGAUACUGGCAAGCUUGAGUCUCGUAGAGGGGGGUAGAAUUCCAGGUGUAGCGGUGAAAUGCGUAGAGAUCUGGAGGAAUACCGGUGGCGAAGGCGGCUCCCUGGACGAAGACUGACGCUCAGGUGCGAAAGCGUGGGGAGCAAACAGGAUUAGAUACCCUGGUAGUCCACGCCGUAAACGAUGUCGACUUGGAGGUUGUGCCCUUGAGGCGUGGCUUCCGGAGCUAACGCGUUAAGUCGACCGCCUGGGGAGUACGGCCGCAAGGUUAAAACUCAAAUGAAUUGACGGGGGCCCGCACAAGCGGUGGAGCAUGUGGUUUAAUUCGAUGCAACGCGAAGAACCUUACCUGGUCUUGACAUCCACGGAAGUUUUCAGAGAUGAGAAUGUGCCUUCGGGAACCGUGAGACAGGUGCUGCAUGGCUGUCGUCAGCUCGUGUUGUGAAAUGUUGGGUUAAGUCCCGCAACGAGCGCAACCCUUAUCCUUUGUUGCCAGCGGUCCGGCCGGGAACUCAAAGGAGACUGCCAGUGAUAAACUGGAGGAAGGUGGGGAUGACGUCAAGUCAUCAUGGCCCUUACGACCAGGGCUACACACGUGCUACAAUGGCGCAUACAAAGAGAAGCGACCUCGCGAGAGCAAGCGGACCUCAUAAAGUGCGUCGUAGUCCGGAUUGGAGUCUGCAACUCGACUCCAUGAAGUCGGAAUCGCUAGUAAUCGUGGAUCAGAAUGCCACGGUGAAUACGUUCCCGGGCCUUGUACACACCGCCCGUCACACCAUGGGAGUGGGUUGCAAAAGAAGUAGGUAGCUUAACCUUCGGGAGGGCGCUUACCACUUUGUGAUUCAUGACUGGGGUGAAGUCGUAACAAGGUAACCGUAGGGGAACCUGCGGUUGGAUCACCUCCUUACCUUAAAGAAGC